rnacentral:rRNA from 1 species
AGAGUGGCGAACGGGUGAGUAACACGUAAGAAUCUACCUUUAGGACGGGGAUAACUUCUGGAAACGGAUGCUAAUACCCGAUAUGCUGUGGAGUGAAAUGAAUUUCGCCUAAAGAUGAUCUUGCGUCUGAUUAGCUAGAUAGGGUGGUAAUGGCGCCCUAUGGCGACGAUCAGUAGCUGGUCUGAGAGGAUGGACAGCCACAUUGGGACUGAGACACGGCCCAAACUCCUACGGGAGGCAGCAGUGGGGAAUUUUCCGCAAUGGGCGAAAGCCUGACGGAGCGACGCUGCGUGAAGGAUGACGGCCUGAGGGUUGUAAACUUCUUUUCUCGAAGAAGAAUCAAUGACGGUAUUCGAGGAAUAAGCAUCGGCUAACUCUGUGCCAGCAGCCGCGGUAAGACAGAGGAUGCAAGUGUUAUUCGGAUUGAUUGGGCGUAAAGCGUCUGUAGGCGGUUUAGAAAGUCUUUUGUGAAAUACUUCAGCUCAACUGGGGCU